rnacentral:hammerhead_ribozyme from 1 species
AUCCAGAUGACGCGUCCCAAAUAGGACGAAAUGUUCACCCUGGAU